rnacentral:rRNA from 1 species
AGCAGCCGCGGUAAUUCCAGCUCCAAUAGCGUAUAUUAAAGUUGUUGCAGUUAAAAAGCUCGUAGUUGAAUUUCGGGAUUAGUGCGCUGGUCAUGCCUUUGGUAUGUACUGGUGUUACUGGUUCCUACCUUCUGAAGAACCGUUAUGUCAUUCAUUUGGUGUGGCGGGGAAUCAGGACUGUUACUUUGAAAAAUUAGAGUGUUUAAAGCAGGCUCGCGCUUGAAUACAUUAGCAUGGAAUAAUGAAAUAGGACGUUUGACCCUAUUUUGUUGGUUUCUAGGAUCGACGUAAUGAUUAAUAGGGAUAGUUGGGGGCAUUAGUAUUCAAUUGUCAGAGGUGAAAUUCUUGGAUUUAUUGAAGACUAACUACUGCGAAAGCAUUUGCCAAGGAUGUUUUCAUUAAUCAAGAACGAAAGUUAGGGGAUCGAAGACGAUCAGAUACCGUCGUAGUCUUAACCAUAAACUAUGCCGACUAGGGAUCGGAUGAUGUUAUUUUUAAUGACUCAUUCGGCGCCUUACGG